AGGCGAACAGUGUGCAAUUCGAGU
rnacentral:miRNA from 1 species